rnacentral:rRNA from 1 species
AUACGUAGGUGGCAAGCGUUAUCCGGAAUUAUUGGGCGUAAAGAGUGAGCAGGCGGUUUAUUAAGUCUGAGGGUAAAGUGGGGGGCUCAACCCCAUAAAGCCUUGGAACCUGUUUGACUAGAGUAAGGGAGACGGGAAAGGACCUCCAUAUGUAGCGGUGAAAUGCGUAGAUAUAUGGAAGAACACCAGUGGCGAAGGCGCUUCACUAGCCCGAAACUGACGCUCAGUCACGAAAGCGUGGGUAGCAAAUAGGAUUAGAUACCCUAGUAGUCCACGCUGUAAACGAUGACAACUAAAUAUUGCCGCGAGGCAGUGUUGAAGCUAACGCAUUAAGUUGUCCGCCUGGGGAGUACGGUCGCAAGACUGAAACUUAAAUGAAUUGACGGGG